AGUUUUUUAAGGUCCAAGUAAGCUUGAAAUGGUAAACUUAUGGUUUAAGGUUCAUUUUAGGUUCACACAGCCUGAGACACGGGUGUGUGCCUCAGCCGUGUGUCCCCUAUAGGUUUUAAAGGUUGCAUUUUGAAAGUUACACGGGCUAGCACACAGCCUCGCACACAGGCGUGUAAGGCCAUUUCGAAGGUUACACGGCCUGGCACACGGACGUGUGGCUUAGCCGUGUGACCCAAGUCAGAGAGUUACACAGGCACGGGCACGGG
rnacentral:lncRNA from 1 species